UACAGAGGGUGCAAGCGUUGUUCGGAAUUAUUGGGCGUAAAGAGCGCGCAGGCGGUCGUUCAAGUCGAGUGUGAAAGCCCCCGGCUCAACUGGGGAGGGUCAUUCGAUACUGAUCGACUCGAAGGCAGGAGAGGGAAGUGGAAUUCCCGGUGUAGUGGUGAAAUGCGUAGAUAUCGGGAGGAACACCAGUGGCGAAGGCGACUUCCUGGCCUGUUCUUGACGCUGAGGCGCGAAAGCUAGGGGAGCAAACGGG
rnacentral:rRNA from 1 species